rnacentral:rRNA from 1 species
UACGUAGGUGGCAAGCGUUGUCCGGAUUUAUUGGGUUUAAAGGGUGCGUAGGCGGUUCUGUAAGUCAGUGGUGAAAUACUCUAGCUUAACUAGAGGGGUGCCAAUGAUACUGCAGAACUUGAGUACAGAUGAGGUAGGCGGAAUUGACGGUGUAGCGGUGAAAUGCAUAGAUAUCGUCAAGAACACCGAUAGCGAAGGCAGCUUACUGGGCUGUAACUGACGCUGAGGCACGAAAGCCAGGGGAGCAAACGGG